rnacentral:rRNA from 1 species
GAUGAACGCUGGCGGCGUGCCUAAUACAUGCAAGUCGAGCGAACAGAUGAGGAGCUUGCUUCUCUGACGUUAGCGGCGGACGGGUGAGUAACACGUGGAUAACCUACCUAUAAGACUGGGAUAACUUCGGGAAACCGGAGCUAAUACCGGAUAAUAUAUUGAACCGCAUGGUUCAAUAGUGAAAAACGGUCUUGCUGUCACUUAUAGAUGGAUCCGCGCCGCAUUAGCUAGUUGGUAAGGUAACGGCUUACCAAGGCAACGAUGCGUAGCCGACCUGAGAGGGUGAUCGGCCACACUGGAACUGAGACACGGUCCAGACUCCUACGGGAGGCAGCAGUAGGGAAUCUUCCGCAAUGGGCGAAAGCUUGACGGAGCAACGCCGCGUGAGUGAUGAAGGUCUUCGGAUCGUAAAACUCUGUUAUUAGGGAAGAACAAAUGUGUAAGUAACUGUGCACAUCUUGACGGUACCUAAUCAGAAAGCCACGGCUAACUACGUG